CAGUCGCCGCGGGAAUACGGAGGGAGCUAGCGUUGUUCGGAAUUAAUGGGCGUAAAGCGCGCGUAGGCGGUUACUCAAGUCAGAGGUGAAAGCCCGGGGCUCAACCCCGGAACUGCCUUUGAAACUAGGUGACUAGAAUCUUGGAGAGGUCAGUGGAAUUCCGAGUGUAGAGGUGAAAUUCGUAGAUAUUCGGAAGAACACCAGUGGCGAAGGCGACUGACUGGACAAGUAUUGACGCUGAGGUGCGAAAGCGUGGGGAGCAAACAGGAUUAGAUACCCGAGUAGUCCCUGUCUCUUAUAC
rnacentral:rRNA from 1 species